AAAGCCUUUCACCUGACUUCUUUCUCAAUGGAGCCCUCUGAGUGGUUUCAUAAACGUCACUUCACCUAUGGAAUGGAAGACAGGAGUUUAUUAGGAACUUGCAUUUGAGACACUGAAGGUGUGCAAUAGAUUGGAGCACGGAGUGGGCAAAAAGCAAUGCUUCUGUUGCAAAAUGCUCAGAAAGACUACAACAAGUGCUGCUUCAAAAGGAGGAAGAUCUCACUGAUCUCAAAGUGCGUAUUUCUUUUCUUCUUGAAUGAUGCUUCUUGGCCAUUGACGGUCCCCUCUGCUUACACCAAACCAUGAAUAUCCAUGUACUGCUGCAGGAGAAGAGAGCUACAAGAGAGUAUAUGGUGCAGUGGACUCGUCUACGACCCAAUCCUCACUCUGCCACUGACUCCUACUGUGGUUUUGGGCAAGUCACUUAAUCUUUCCUCUUUUGCUUCCCCCAUCUGUAAACUGAGACUAACCCCAAACGUGGGCUACCAUUCCCUACCUCAGAGGAAAACUGGGAAGGUGAAUUAACAUUUUGCAAAGUGCUCUGACCACAUAACCAGUAUAUAAAGGCUGAGGUUCAAUUAGCUAGGAGACUAAAGGAAAUUCUGUUAUGCUAUUGAACAGUUGAAGGUGAUGGUUCAUGUUUAUAUAUGUCAUUGGUUUAAAUCUGGCCCAAGUCGGUAGUAACUGAGAGUCAUUCUUAAAGUUUCUUGGAAGUCUCUGCAAGAUCUGCUUCCUAGUGGCCAGGUCACUGCUACGUCUCUAGAGGCUGGCCAAGGAGGCAGCUGCUGCUUCGAGCCGAGGACCAUGGGUGAGGUCUGCAUAUUGAAAGCACUUCAGAGCCCGGUGCUGUCAGGCCAACGCCUUCCAACUUGGAACCAGGCUAUAUGCUUGAGCCUUGCUGUGCUGGUCCAAAGGCCAGUGGGGAACUGAACUAGCCCAGUCCUGCCGCUCCACUCUGAGCCAAGAACCUGCCCCCAGCUGUCUGCUGGAGAAGCAGCUAGCGGUGCCCACACACAGACUCAGGCAGCCCUCUCUCCUUGGCUCCACCUCAGCAUCACUCUGAAAUGGCACAUGUCACCGCCUUCAGAAAUAUGAACUGCAAGCGCUGGGGCUGCUCUCCUUUAAAAAGCAGCCUCUCUG